rnacentral:tRNA from 1 species
GGGGAGGUAGUCUAGCUUGGUAUGAUUCUCGGUUCGGAUCCGAGAGGCCAGGGGUUCGAAUCCCCUCUUCCCCA